UGGUGGAGUGAUUUGUCUGCUUAAUUGCGAUAACGAACGAGACCUCGGCCCUUAAAUAGCCCGGUCCGCGUUUGCGGCCGCUGGCUUCUUAGGGGACUAUCGGCUCAAGCCGAUGGAAGUGCGCGGCAAUAACA
rnacentral:rRNA from 1 species